rnacentral:lncRNA from 1 species
GCUCAGAGCGCCCAGUCCGACGCCAGGCUCUGCGCUCGGUCUCCUCUGCUCCACCUCCUCCCCGCGGGGCGUGCAGCUCCGAAGCUCUUUGGACCUAGCAGGUUCGGCGGCCGGGAGGUGCCAUUCACAUCAAAUGUAGCCAUUUUAGAGGUGUCAAAAUAAAUCAGCCAUAUUUAAUAAAUUCCAGCUCUACUCUUCUACCCUGUAGCCCAAGAAGCAGCAACGAUGGGGUCAAAGGAUCAUGCAGUAUUUUUCAGGGAAAUGACACAGUUAAUUUUGAAUGAAAUGCCAAAAGCUGGGUAUUCCAGCAUAUUAAAUGAUUUUGUGGAAUCUAAUUUUUUUGUGAUUGAUGGAGAUUCCUUGCUUGUCACAUGCCUGGGUGUAAAAUCAUUCAAGUGGGGACAGAAUCUCCACUUUUUCUAUCUGGUUGAAUGCUAUCUUGUGGAUCUUCUGAGUAACGGAGGACAAUUCACCAUAGUUUUCUUUAAGAUGGAGUUUCGCUCUUUUUGCACAGGCUGAAGUGCAAUGCCGUGAUCUCGGCUCACUGCAACCUCCACCUCCUAGGUUCAAGUGAUUCUACUCUCUCAGCCUCCCAAGUAGCUGGGAUUACAGGCGCGUGCCAC